CAGCAGUGGGGAAUAUUGCACAAUGGGCGCAAGCCUGAUGCAGCGACGCCGCGUGGGGGAUGACGGCCUUCGGGUUGUAAACUCCUUUCGUUAGGGACGAAGCCACACUUUUUUUGGGUGUGGUGACGGUACCUUUGUUAAGAAGCACCGGCUAACUACGUGCCAGCAGCCGCGGUAAUACGUAGGGUGCGAGCGUUGUCCGGAAUUACUGGGCGUAAAGAGCUCGUAGGUGGUUUGUUGCGUCGUCUGUGAAAUUCCGGGGCUUAACUUCGGGGUGGCAGGCGAUACGGGCAUAACUAGAGUGCUGUAGGGGAGACUGGAAUUCCUGGUGUAGCGGUGGAAUGCGCAGAUAUCAGGAGGAACACCGAUGGCGAAGGCAGGUCUCUGGGCAGUAACUGACGCUGAGGAGCGAAAGCAUGGGGAGCGAACAGGAUUAGAUACCCUGGUAGUCCAUGCUGUAAACGGUGGGCGCUAGGUGUGGGCUGUGUGUUUGCAGUCUGUGCCGUAGCUAACGCAUUAAGCGCCCCGCCUGGGGAGUACGGCCGCAAGGCUAAAACUCAAAGGAAUUGACGGGGGCCCGCACAAGCGGCGGAGCAUGCGGAUUAAUUCGAUGCAACGCGAAGAACCUUACCAAGGCUUGACAUAUACUGGACUGCGUCAGAGAUGGCGUUUCCCUUCGGGGCUGGUAUACAGGUGGUGCAUGGUUGUCGUCAGCUCGUGUCGUGAGAUGUUGGGUUAAGUCCCGCAACGAGCGCAACCC
rnacentral:rRNA from 1 species